AGAGUUUGAUCCUGGCUCAGAACGAACGCUGGCGGCGUGGCUAAAGCAUGCAAGUCGAACGGACCCCUUGAUGAGUAAUCUGAUUGGGAGUUAGUGGCGAACGGGUGAGGAAUAAAUGGAUAACGUGCCCCGAACUCUGGGAUAGCGGCGGAACUUCGGUUCCUUUGCGAAAGUGCCGGUAAUACCAGAUGAUCCCGUGCGGUCUCAUGAUCGUGCGGGCAAAGUUCAGGCGGUUUGGGAGCGGUCCAUUUCCUAUCAGCUUGUUGGUGGGGUAAAGGCCUACCAAGGCAACGACGGGUAUCGGGUGUGAGAGCACGACCCGACACAUCGGGACUGAGACACUGCCCGGACACCUACGGGUGGCUGCAGCAACGAAUAUUCCGCAAUGGGCGCAAGCCUGACGGAGCGACGCCGCGUGCAGGACGAAGUCUUUCGGGAUGUAAACUGCUGUCAGGGGCUAGAAAUAAAUUGAUCAGCCCCAAAGGAAGCAUCGGCUAACUCCGUGCCAGCAGCCGCGGUAAUACGGAGGAUGCGAGCGUUGUUCGGAAUCACUGGGCUUAAAGCGCAUGUAGGCGGAAUGUAAGGUGUCAUGUGAAAGCCCCCGGCUCAACCGGGGAAUUGCUAGGCAAACCGACAUUCUUGAGGCAAGUAGAGGCGACUGGAACCUUUGGUGGAAAGGU
rnacentral:rRNA from 1 species